AUUACUUUGGCAGAAAAGUGUAGUAAAUUUAGAAUUUAUGUAUAAAUUAAAUAUUUAGGUAAUA
rnacentral:tRNA from 1 species